rnacentral:rRNA from 1 species
UACAGAGGGGGCAAGCGUUGUUCGGAAUUACUGGGCGUAAAGGGCGCGUAGGCGGCCUUCUAAGUCGAACGUGAAAUCCCCGGGCUCAACCCGGGAACUGCGUCCGAUACUGGAAGGCUUGAAUCCGGGAGAGGGAUGCGGAAUUCCAGGUGUAGCGGUGAAAUGCGUAGAGAUGUGGAGGAACACCAGUGGCGAAGGCGGCUUUCUGGGCCGAUACUGACGCUGAGGAGCGAAAGCGUGGGGAGCGAACAGG